UACGUAGGGUGCAAGCGUUGUCCGGAAUUAUUGGGCGUAAAGAGCUUGUAGGCGGUUUGUCGCGUCUGCUGUGAAAUUUCGGGGCUCAACCCCGGGACUGCAUUCGAUACUGUCAGGCUAGAGGUAGGUAGGGGAGAUCGGAAUUCCUGGUGUAGCGGUGAAAUGCGCAGAUAUCAGGAGGAACACCGGUGGCGAAGGCGGAUCUCUGGGCCUUACCUGACGCUCAGGCGCGAAAGCUAGGGGAGCGAGCAGG
rnacentral:rRNA from 1 species